rnacentral:rRNA from 1 species
UCUGCCCGCUGGCGGCGUGCCUAAUACAUGCAAGUCGAGCGAACAGACGAGGAGAUUGCUCCUCUGACGUUAGCGGCGGACGGGUGAGUAAAACGUGGAUAACCUACCUAUAAGACUGGGACAAACUCGGGAAAACGGAGCUAAUACCGGAUAAUAUAUUGAACCGCAUUGUUCAAUAGCAAAAGACGGAUUUGCUGUCACUUAUAGUAGGAUCCGCGCCGACUUAGCAUGAUGGUAAGGUAACGGUUACCCAAGGCAACGAUGUGUAGCCGACCUGAGCGGGUGAUCGGCCACACUCGAGCUGAGACACGGUCCAGACUCCUACGGGAGGCACCAGUAGGGAAUCUUCCGCAAUGGGCGAAGGCCUGACGGAGCAACGCCGCGUGAGUGAUGAAGGUCUUCGGAUCGUAAAACUCUGUUAUUAGGGAAGAACAAAUGUGUAAGUAAGUAUGCACGUCUUGACGGUACCUAAUCAGAAAGCCACGGCUAACUACGUG